rnacentral:rRNA from 1 species
CCUACGGGAGGCAGCAGUGGGGAAUUUUCCGCAAUGGGCGAAAGCCUGACGGAGCAACGCCGCGUGAGGGAUGAAGGCCUCUGGGCUGUAAACCUCUUUUAUCAAGGAAGAAGAUCUGACGGUACUUGAUGAAUAAGCCACGGCUAAUUCCGUGCCAGCAGCCGCGGUAAUACGGGAGUGGCAAGCGUUAUCCGGAAUUAUUGGGCGUAAAGCGUCCGCAGGCGGUCUUGUAAGUCUGUCGUUAAAGCGUGGAGCUUAACUCCAUUUCGGCGGUGGAAACUACAAGACUAGAGUGUGGUAGGGGCAGAGGGAAUUCCCGGUGUAGCGGUGAAAUGCGUAGAUAUCGGGAAGAACACCAGUGGCGAAGGCGCUCUGCUGGGCCAUAACUGACGCUCAUGGACGAAAGCUAGGGGAGCGAAAGGGAUUAGAUACCCCGUGUAGUCCUAGCCGUAAACGAUGAACACUAGGUGUCGGGGGAAUCGACCCCUCGGUGUCGUAGCUAACGCGUUAAGUGUUCCGCCUGGGGUAGUACGCNCGCAGUGUGAACUACGAAGAAGUAGUACGGCGUGAGACGUGCCGACGACGACGACGAGGGAGUAG